ACUGAGUCCCUUUCAUUCAAUAAUGAAACCUGUAGAAGAUCGAUCAAGUUGAACUCGGUUGGAUACGAAAAGUGAGCUUCAGCGUGAUGAACUGUCCUAAGCUGUUUUGGCCAGCCACGACCAUUGGAUUUUUUGUGGUAGAUAAUAGCAGCCGCUACUAUGUAGAGGCAAGAUGAGGGUUGGUUAUUCCUCCAUAAUUCUGCUAUUGGGUUAUCAUGAAAGAUCCUUUCCUUUGCAUGAAAGGUUAAUUGAGGGUGAAUAUGAUGAUAUUAUAGAGGCAAGAUUCAAAUAAACUGGAGGGUUAGCAUCA